UCAGAAUCACGUGUGUUUUUUUGAAACAUCAUGGAGACAAACUGUGAAGUGAUAGAUUUGUGUGACAUAAAAUCGGUGAAAUCUGAGGACACGUCGUCUACGAUUCCGUUGGAUGAAAAUGAAAAUCCUGCAACAGGAUCCGCAGCUUUAACUGAUGAGGAAAACGAAGCAAGACAACAAAACACUAAACAAUGGAUAGAACAGAGCUCGUUGGAUAACAACAUCUUCCCGACUUCGGACGAGAGAUCGAUAGCCGUAGCAGCUCAACGUCAUAUUCCCUUUGAGGUGGCUGAUCUCGUAAAUAAGGAGUGUGCAAUCAAGUUGAUCAACUAUCUUGCGAUCUAUGCAGUAAACAAAAACACGGAAGCAAAUUUGCUAACAAAGAUACGCUCUAUAACACCAGAUUUUGAUCCACAGUUAAACUACCGUUGCAUAGUUGGAUUCAAGAGCAUCUACCAGCGGUGCUUCGUGCUAUUUUAUGAGGCUCUUUUGGACCUAACUGAGAUAUUUCUGCAGUUUGAGCAGGCCACACAGAAAAUUAUAGUUUUAUGGAUGUACAACAUGGUCGAACAUAUGUGCGUAGCUCAAGGAGUCGACGGUAGAUUUUACGUCACGAAAAUUUCAUUGAACAAAUCUUGAUAGAUUUCACAAAAACUCAACGAGAAACUCCUGACAAACAAAACAUAUUCUACGAUGUGUAUCAGAAGUCUCUUCCGACAGAAGUGGUCCCUCCUCCUGCUAAAAAGCCUCGGAAACCUCGCACAAAAAAGGUUAAACCUCAUGAACAUGCUGCUCCUAAGUAACUUUUUUUCAUGCCAUCGAAAUAGUUUAGUCGAAACCAUAAAAUAAUGACAACACAAGUUCCAUUUGGUAUUUGUAUUUAGUUUACACUUAAUCGUUGAUGAAAGCUUAUAUUCUUAGAUAACUGAAAUGCACUAAAGCCAACAUAAAAAACCAUUCGUCAGAAGUUGUUAGGUGGACUUCUCUCAAUGCAACAAUUGGUUUGAAUCUAUUGAAUUUUAAAGCAAGAUCAAUAAACAGUUCAUUAAAUAAAAAUAAACCUAAAUUAUAUGAA